rnacentral:rRNA from 1 species
UUGAACGCUGGCGGCAUGCCUUACCCAUGCAAGUCGAACGGCAGCACGGGUGCUUGCACCUGGUGGCGAGUGGCGAACGGGUGAGUAAUACAUCGGAACAUGUCCUGUAGUGGGGGAUAGCCCGGCGAAAGCCGGAUUAAUACCGCAUACUAUCUACGGAUGAAAGCGGGGGACCUUCGGGCCUCGCGCUAUAGGGUUGGCCGAUGGCUGAUUAGCUAGUUGGUGGGGUAAAGGCCUACCAAGGCGACGAUCAGUAGCUGGUCUGAGAGGACGACCAGCCACACUGGGACUGAGACACGGCCCAGACUCCUACGGGAGGCAGCAGUGGGGAAUUUUGGACAAUGGGCGAAAGCCUGAUCCAGCAAUGCCGCGUGUGUGAAGAAGGCCUUCGGGUUGUAAAGCACUUUUGUCCGGAAAGAAAUCCUUGGCCCUAAUACGGUCGGGGGAUGACGGUACCGGAAGAAUAAGCACCGGCUAACUACGUG